UGCCAGACUCCUACGGGAGGCAGCAGUGGGGAAUAUUGGGCAAUGGGCGAAAGCCUGACCCAGCAACGCCGCGUGAAGGAAGAAGGCUUUCGGGUUGUAAACUUCUUUUGACAGGGAAGAGCAGAAGACGGUACCUGUCGAAUAAGCCACGGCUAACUACGUGCCAGCAGCCGCGGUAAUACGUAGGGGGCAAGCGUUAUCCGGAUUUACUGGGUGUAAAGGGGGCGCAGACGGCGAUGCAAGCCAGGAGUGAAAGCCCGGGGCCCAACCCCGGGACUGCUCUUGGAACUGCGUGGCUGGAGUGCAGGAGGGGCAGGCGGAAUUCCUGGUGUAGCGGUGAAAUGCGUAGAUAUCAGGAGGAACACCGGCGGCGAAGGCGGCCUGCUGGACUGCAACUGACGUUGAGGCCCGAAAGCGUGGGGAGCAAACAGGAUUAGAUACCCGUGUAGA
rnacentral:rRNA from 1 species